ACAGAAGCCUUCGGGCGGAAGAUGAUAUAACUUAGUGGCGGACGGGUGAGUAACACGUGAGCAACCUGCCUAUCAGAGGGGGAUAACGUUCUGAAAAGAACGCUAAUACCGCAUGAAGUACGAAAGGGACAUCCCAUUUGUACCAAAGGAGCAAUCCGCUGAUAGAUGGGCUCGCGUCCGAUUAGGUAGUUGGUAGGGUAACGGCCUACCAAGCCGACGAUCGGUAGCCGGACUGAGAGGUUGAACGGCCACAUUGGGACUGAGACACGGCCCAGACUCC
rnacentral:rRNA from 1 species